AACGAACGCUGGCGGCAUGCCUAACACAUGCAAGUCGAACGAGACCUUCGGGUCUAGUGGCGCACGGGUGCGUAACGCGUGGGAACCUGCCCUUAGGUUCGGAAUAACUCCCCGAAAGGGGUGCUAAUACCGGAUAAUGUCUUCGGACCAAAGAUUUAUCGCCUUUGGAUGGGCCCGCGUUGGAUUAGCUAGUUGGUAGGGUAAAAGCCUACCAAGGCGACGAUCCAUAGCUGGUCUGAGAGGAUGAUCAGCCACACUGGGACUGAGACACGGCCCAGACUACGACGUGAGGCAGCAGUGGGGAGUAUUGGACAAAGGGCGGAAGACUGAUACAGCCAUGCCGAGGGAGUGAUGAAGGCCUUAGGGUGGUAAAGCUCUUUGACCCGGGAUGCUAAUGACAGUACAGGGAGAAUAAGCGCCGGCUAACUCCGUG
rnacentral:rRNA from 1 species